rnacentral:rRNA from 1 species
UACAGAGGGUGCAAGCGUUAAUCGGAAUUACUGGGCGUAAAGCGUGCGUAGGCGGCUUCAAAAGUCGGAUGUGAAAUCCCGUGGCUCAACCAUGGACGUGCAUUCGAAACUGCGAAGCUUGAGUAUGGAAGAGGGUCGCGGAAUUCCCGGUGUAGAGGUGAAAUUCGUAGAUAUCGGGAGGAACACCAGUGGCGAAGGCGGCGACCUGGGCCAAUACUGACGCUGAGGUGCGAAAGCGUGGGGAGCAAACAGG